UAUCAAUCAUGAAUUCAUGAUGAUGAUGAUCCGAUUGUCUUAUAAUUGAACCAUGACGAACAUAUUAUUAUAUUAUUGAACUUAGAUCUAUAUUAUUCUUAAUUUAUAAUUAAAAUAACAUAAGACUAGAUUAUCUAUCUUGAUACUAUAUCGGAAUGAUAUGAUUAUGACGAAUGUCACUCUCUAAUCUCUAUCAUCUCAGGUCAUCAUUUACUCUUAGAUCUAGAUCUAGUAGUAGUACUAGAUCUAGUAGCCAGUCUCUAGAUCUAUUGUAGAUCUAGAUCUAGUAUUAUACUGUUAUAGGAAAGUACUAGAAAGCUACUGGCUGUGUCAAAGAAUGCAAACAGCCAUUUUUAUCCUGUACCUGUCAUUAGGCCCAAACACUGUCCAUUCUCAGAAAUGUCUUUGAGUGAGGUUCAUGUGGGCUACAAAGACCUUUCUUCAGGAAACAGUACCAGGAAAAAAAAAGAGGUGGACAGAAAUUUCAUUAAAAUGGAGGGCCGUUCAAUGAAAGAGAUUCUACCAAGGCAAAAGAAUGAGAAAUGGAGAAAGAUAGUCAAGAGACCUUUUGUGGUGCUCUAACAGUUCAUCAGACUAAGAGAUAGGGUUGUUAGCCCUGGGCACAAUCAUCUGGAGUUCUGCUCCUUUCAGCUCUCUGGACUGCUGCCUUUACUUUUGGGUAAGGUGCCUACCCUAGAUCCCCCCACUUCUUGCAAAGCAGCAGGUUUAAUUUUGGUCCACCCCAGGUAUUUUAUUUCCCAGUACACACCAUAUCUAGAGGACAAUAUGUUACCUGGGAAACUCUAGAAGUGUUAUCAGCAACCGAGAACAAAUAAAACACUGAACCAUAAUUUACAAAUACAAAAUAAAACCUAAUAAAAUACUCAGAAAGACACAGAUAUAAAGGCACAUUUCUUAUUCCAUAUGCUAGGACUAAUGUGUAAAAGUGCUCCUAUUUCCUGAAUGCUGUUAGAGCAUGAAAUGGGUUGCCUGAAUCAGCCAGGAAAACCAACGACUUGGCAGAUAUUUAGUCACUGAUUAACAUGCAUGACUAGAUUGACACAUUGUGUGUAUAUGUGUAUGUAGUGAUGGGAACUAAACUAACUUUUAAAAGUUAAACUAAAACUAGUUUUCAACUAAAAUAAAGUAGUUGAACUAUUAGUUUAUCAAGAAUUUCAAAAGAUAGUUAAACUAAACUAAAGAAAGUUAAUUAAACUAUAACAAACUUUUUUUUUUGGGGGGGGGGGGGUUGAACUAGACCUAUAUAUAGAUAUAAUCAUCCGACUGUAUGCCUACAGUUCGAUCUUAUUAUUUUAACAUUCUAGUAAUAUUUAUCUAUAAUAAAAUCAGUAUUAAGGAAUAUGUUUCUUACAUAAACGUUAAUGCACAAUAAAAUAAAAUGUCUAAAUAAAUAUGUGUGCCUUGAAUUAAAACCUUUAGAAAAUAAUGGUACUCUUUUUAAAAAAAAGUAUAUUAACUUAUUAUAUAACGGAAAAUCUUACUUAUACUGGUAAAGUUUAAAAUCUCAUUAAAUAACAUAGAUUUAGAAUUUCAAAUUUAGAUCUAGUAUCCAAAGAAAUAGAAACGAAAUCGUUGGAGUUUUUUAAAACAUUUUACUUGUAUAACUAUUUUAUAGUUUAAAAUACAUACUUGACUAACCAUGCCGAUGUGCUAUUUUCUUGUCUGACCACUAAAAAUACAACUAACACUAUUGCAUAACCGUUAAACGCGCAAGGGAAAACAUAACUGGGUGAUCUUGUCAUUAUGGACUGCACACUCAGUACACUAUAUAGACCUACACGUGUACGUCUAUCUGGCCAGGUUGUUAAAAUCAGUCGGACACACUGUCUAUUUACUUUCUGGGCAGGGAGGGUGUAUAACUAUUUAGUGUAAAGAUAUAUCUACGAACAUGCUUGACUAGCCACGCCAGUGUAUUAUUUUCUUGUCUGACCUCUCCACAUUAAGCAAACACUAUUGUAUAACGCUGAAUGCAGGGCAGUCUUACAGUAUUAUCUACUACACACGUACAGUACACUAGGCCUACAUGUGGUCAUGUGUAUGUCUAGCUGACCAGGUUGUUGAAAUCAGUUGCACAUAGUCUAUUUACUUUAUGGUCAGAGAGGAUGUGGAUUAAGAUUUGUUUUCUAAAGUUGGUUACCCUAAAGCUUUUAGAUCUAUAUAGGCCUGGCUGUUGAUUUAGACUUAAUAGAUCUCACUAAUAAGUCUUAAGACUAUAAAAGGGUGUACUUGAUGUUACUGCAGUUAAAAAAAUAUUGUUUGCCACAAAUGAAUGGAUUAAAACCACUAAAUAUUGACCUAACUCACUAAUCAGAUUUCCACUAUAAACAGAAAUUAAACACCUCCACCUGGCUCACAAAAAAAAUUUGGAACAACCUCAUUCUUAAUACUGCAUAGAAGAUUUUGACAAAAAAUGUUUAACAUUUUAUAAUACUGCUACUUUCAAGUGCAAAUAUUUACUCCCAUAACUUCUACCAGGAUCUUACUUUACCCUCUUCAAAUGCAGACUGUCUAAAUAGUUGUUAACUGCAUCAUUUUUUUUAUUAUCAAAGUUAUUGAUAUCACAUGAUCAGAAAACAGGGAGUGCGUUUCAACCCUGACCACAUGUGAAAAGUUUUACAAAUUUUAAUUAAACUUUUUAGUUAGUAACUAAAAAAAUUUAAUUAAACUACGAUUUUAACUAAACUUUUUUUAUCUAGUUAAACAAUGGCCUUAACUAAUUUUUUUUAGUUAAACUAAAAGUUUCUAACUUUUUAGUUAACUUUUGCCCAUCACUAUGUGUAUGUUGCUAGUAUGUAGAAUUUAUUUCCUUUGGCAAGAGAGUUCAUAUUGAAUUUUGUGUUAUGUUAAAGUUGUUAUUAAAGAGUCUCAUGAAACUGAUAUUAUUGCGUUGGCAUUUUUUAUUGUUAUAAGCUAACAACAGUCGGAUGUAAUUUCUUCUCUUUUAAGGUCAUGUCUGUCAUUUAUAAGAUAUGAUAUGUGUGAUGGGUAACCUUGAAUAAAAGAGUGUUUUAAAUCUUUCUGUUCUUGCCUUAAUGGAGUGGAACUGACCACUUUAUCAAGAUCUGAUGUAACUUUGUUUUAAUGGGUGUAAAUUAUCUUUAAGAACUUUGUGUGCUU